CAGCAUUUUGCACAAAGCUGGCAUGUGAAGAGGAAGCCAGUCAUGACAAAUACUACUGAAAUGGCAACAGAGCACAACGUAUAAUGCACAAGAGCAUAUAGAAUGGCAGAGGAGAUAUAAGUGAAUAAGAGGAACUGUAGCAUUUUUUAAACAUGGAAAGCACAGGGAGGAGUGAAACCUAAUUUAUCAGACAAGAAGCUAUCAACCAAUGAGCAUGCAGAAGGUGAAACAAACAAGAGGUGAAUUCUGCCCCUCUUGCUUGCAAGUGGAUACAAGAUUGAAGAACUCAUUGGAUAAGCCAGA